rnacentral:rRNA from 1 species
UACGGAGGGUGCAAGCGUUAUCCGGAUUCACUGGGUUUAAAGGGUGCGUAGGUGGGCAAGUAAGUCAGUGGUGAAAUCUCCGGGCUUAACCCGGAAACUGCCAUUGAUACUAUUUGUCUUGAAUAUCCUGGAGGUGAGCGGAAUAUGUCAUGUAGCGGUGAAAUGCUUAGAUAUGACAUAGAACACCAAUUGCGAAGGCAGCUCACUACGGGAUUAUUGACACUGAGGCACGAAAGCGUGGGGAUCAAACAGG